ensembl:snRNA U6 U6 spliceosomal RNA
UCACUCACUCCGGCAGCACAUGUACUAAAACUGGAAUCACCCAGAGAAGACUAGCACUGCCCCCGUGCAAGGAGGACACACACGUUCGUGAAGGGUUCUAUAUUUUU